rnacentral:rRNA from 1 species
UACGUAGGUGGCAAGCGUUGUCCGGAUUUAUUGGGUUUAAAGGGUGCGUAGGCGGCUUUGUAAGUCAGUGGUGAAAUACGGCAGCUCAACUGUCGAGGUGCCAUUGAUACUGCAGAGCUAGAGUACUGAUGAGGUAGGCGGAAUGGACGGUGUAGCGGUGAAAUGCUUAGAUAUCGUCCAGAACACCGAUAGCGAAGGCGGCUUACUAAAGAGUAACUGACGCUGAGGCACGAAAGUGUGGGGAUCAAACAGG